UACGGAGGGUGCGAGCGUUAAUCGGAAUUACUGGGCGUAAAGGGUGCGUAGGUGGUUUGAUAAGUUAUCUGUGAAAGCCCUGGGCUCAACCUGGGAAGGCCAGAUAAGACUGUUAGACUUGAGUAUGGGAGAGGGUAGUGGAAUUUCCGGUGUAGCGGUGAAAUGCGUAGAGAUCGGAAGGAACACCAGUGGCGAAAGCGGCGCGCUGGACCACUACUGACGCUGAGGAACGAAAGCUAGGGGAGCAAACAGG
rnacentral:rRNA from 1 species